rnacentral:misc_RNA from 1 species
AAGCUAGCAAGUUUUGUAGGUAACAAGUUUGAGGUGCUACAGAUGGGAAGAGGAAGCUUGCGUUAGUGCCUUGAGAGAGUGCAGCGUCCUAAAGGUGAGGGAGGCCUUGGGUUUAAGGAUUCGAAGUUGUUGAAUUUGGCCUACUUUACAAAGUUAGGGUAUGAGAUCUUGAUCAGAAAAGAUGACUUGGGGGUGAAGCUUUUAUGCUUUAAAUAUAAGUUGAGGGUGCAACAGUUCCCUAAUCAGAUUGCUAAGACAAAUCGCUCAGUGACUUGGAGAAGGCUUGCAUUCCAUGCUUAAAGGGAUUAGAUGAUCUUUGGGGUAUGGUACUCGUGCCAAGUUUUGGGUGGAUUAUUGGCUUCCUCACGGAGUGAGGUUAUUAGCCUGUGUUGUUAAGGAAAUUCCUUUAGAUUUCCUAUGCUAUAAGGCUGCUAAAUAUGCAGAUGGGUUUAGGGGCUAGGUGUGGGAGAAGUUUAGGGAUUUUUUAUCUGAAGAUGUUUUAUUAUUGAUUGUUGCCACUUUGCCUCCUUAUGUUCUCAAUGGGGUGGAUCUAAGAAAGGGAAGUUUACUGUUGGGAGUGCCUAUCAUGUGCUUAAUGGGAAAGAUGUGGGGUUGAAUCAACGUAUUUGAAGAAUGGUUUGGAAAUUGCAGGGACCGUACAGAAUUAGAAUUUUUCCUUGGGUUGGUUUUAAGCGGCGGUUUGCUCACAUGUGCGGAACGCCUUCAAAGACAUCUUAGUAAGUCUAGUCAAUGCCAAUUAUGUUUUUGCCAAAAGGAAACGCUGGAGCAUGCUUUGAGGGAUUGUGAUUUUGCUAAGUUUGGUGCGUAAAAAGAUUGUGCUAGGGGAGUUGGUCUUGGAAUGGAGCCAAAGUGAGUUGCCUGUGUCAAAUUGAGUGAUUGGUAUCCUAGAGAUGGAAUGGAAGCAUAGUAGUGGAGUGAAAUGGGCUGUGUUGUUUGGUGUGACAUGUUAGGUGCUUUGGAAGCAAAGAAAUAAGGCUGUUUUUUUUUCUAAUGAAGCUAUUGGGGUGGAUGGUGGUUCAUUUGUGCAUUUCCUCAGCAGUAGCUUUUGAGGAAGUUGUUUGAUAAGGUUCCUAUUGGAAUUGUAGGGUAGAGGUGUAAGGAGGAUAGAUGGAUUUGCUUGGUGCCUGCUCCUGUUGAGUGGAUGAAAUUAAAUUCCAAUGGUUCUUUCAAGGGUGAGUCAGGAAACGCUUAUAGGGGAGGGUUAAUUCGAGAUUUGGAAGAGAGGUGGGUUGUUGGAUAUAUUUUAAACUUGGGCGAGAGCACAGUUACAGGGGCAGAGCCUUGGGCAUUCGUAGCUGAUUUGAAUGUUGCAUGGGAUUUCGGUAUUCGGAGGCUUAUUAUUAAAUGUCAUAAUGCUAGUGUAGUUCAGUGGUUGUGUGGGAUAAAGGAAUGAUGGGCUGUCCUAGAUCUCUGUUGGUGGUGAUUAAGCAAUUGUUGUGUUAUAAUUGGGAGGUGAAGGUGCAGCAUAUAUAUAGAGGCUAACAUGUGGGCUGAAAAGCUUGCUGAUGUUGCUGGGAAUUUUCCUUUGGCAGUGCAUAUUUUGUCGUUCCUGCCUAAUGAGAUCAAGUCUUUGUUAAGGCAACAUAUUAUUGGAGUGGCUCAGUUCAAAGUUGUAG